ensembl:snRNA U4 U4 spliceosomal RNA
AGCUUUGCGCAGUGGCAGUAUCAUAGCUAAUGAGGUUUAUCCGAAGUGCGAUUAUUGCUAAUUGAACACUUUUCCCAAUACCCUGCCAUGAAGACUUGAAAUGUAGUUGAUGUUGGCAAUUUUUGACAGUCUCUACAGGGA